rnacentral:lncRNA from 1 species
UCAGAUUCCUGGAAGAAAUCCCAAUGAACAGGGGUCAUUAUCAGGCCACAUUUCUGGUAUCUGUGGUAAGUAAUGAUGUUCACUUUAACCCCAUCACAGACCAUUUGAUCUUCAUAUAUCUAGGUAAGUGAUGUCUGUUUACGUGAACUGUUUAUCAUGUGCUUUUAUAACAGUGAUUUUUGUAAGUAAUGACAGUAUUUCUAGUUCUAGUGACCAUGUUAUAUUGUUUUUAAUUUAGAGAAAACUUAUGGUUUACGCUGUGAGUAUCAAAUGAUUUGCGUGUACACAGAUAACAACGUGGUGUGCUUCAUAGUAGUAACUGUGGUAUCCUUGCAGAUAGGUAGUCAAGAAAAAAUGGUGUGUCCUUCAAGGUUGUAGACCUUGGGAAUACUGCAAAAUUCCAUGUAGAUUUAUGUCUUCUGCAAUGAUGACAGCCAACAAGUUAUUUGCAGGGUUCUGGUGGAAGAGUUGUGUCCACAGACACAUUUGUCAUAAUGUGGUUUCAGGUUCCUCUCAAGGGGUCAUGGGAAACCUCAUCAUGAUCAACAAUGGGACAUUGCUGGUAUCCAAGCCAAUUAUGAUGUGGGCCUUAAACACCCUACAAAAAUGUGAUCUACAGAAAUGUAGGUAACUGUAGAUGGUUUUCCUAAUUUUUGUGUUGCCAUAUUUUGUGCAGGUAUUUAGUUAAGGAAUUAUAUUUUCCCAACCAACGCAGGUAAGCAUCAGUCAUUAUUUUAGAGUUUAGUUAUAAUGUGUUUAGUCUUAUAGUGAGGGAGGGAUAUGCAGGUAUCCAGGUAAGUUUUCCUACUGUUUCCCACCACGUUAUUGACCAUGAGACUUCAACAUCAUCAAGAGAUGAUGGUGCCACUACAUUGUUGACAUUGAAGUCAUGGCAAAUCCAAGUAGUGUUGAAGGUUCCCUGCUGAUGGAAGUGCCCAGAAUUAUUUGUGUCUUGUCUUUUUUUAUGUAAAACAAAUUGUUUCCUUAAACACACUUGAGCAAUGUGUUUUUUAGUUUUCUGUAAUGAGCUCACAAUCAAGCUUAACAAUAGUCAUUAAUGGAACCGUGCUGUAACCUGCUAAUUGAGAAAGUGUGUUUCCCACAAUCAGACCAUUAGAUCUUUAUAUUUCCAUGUAAGUGAGGAUGGUGUCCUUAACACUUGUCUACCAUGUAUUCCUGCAGGUAUCCUGUUAAGUUCUUUCCUAGUAUACAGGUAGAAGAUUAUGUGAUAUUAACACAUUAGCAACCUUCCUAUUUUCAGAUAUGUAGGUGAUUAAUGAUUUUUUUGAGACUCUUCUUGUAACCUUGUGUUUGUCAUGCAUGCAGUUAAGAAAUUACUUUUUCCCUAACAUUACUAGUAAGAGUGAGAUUUUACUGUGUUCUUGUUUAGACAUAAUGUGUAUUUAUCAAUUGUAGUGAUAUAUGGAUAUGCGAGUAUCCAGGUAAUUUAUCAUAUUGUCCAUCACUGUAAUGCUGAGAUUUUUGUAGGUAUCACUUCAAGAGAGGAAAGUUUCUCUUACGAGUGUUUUCCCUUGGCAUUAUGCAAGCAUCCAGUUACCUUUGAUAGGCCCUGAAAUGAUGAAAGAGACGAAGGGAAUUUGCAGGUGUACAGGUAGAAUGAGACAUUUAGGAAACACAUUUUCAACAGUAUAUUUUUUAGGUUCAUUUGAAGAGGUCACAGUGAGCCUAUCAGUAAUAGUUAACAGGGGUCAUUGCUCGUAUGGAUGUGCAUGAUAAUGUGGGCCUAAAACACAGCCCAGCCCAUCUGAUCUUCCCUUAUAUAGGUAAGUGGUGGUGUCCCUAACACUUCUGUUACUAUGAUUUUGUUGUAGCUGUUCAAGUAAGAAAUGAUAGAGCUCUUACCAAUUUAAAAAAACAUUAUUUUGUGUGCACCACCACAUCCUGCUGAUUUUUGUAUUUUGAGAGAUGGGGUUUUGGCACGUUGGCCAAGCUGGUCUCGAACUCCUGGCUUCAAGCAGUCCACCCACCUUGGCCUCCCAAAGUGCUGGAAUUACAGGCGUGCACCACCACGCCCGGCCAGAUCUUCAUAUAUCUAAGUAAGUGUUAUACAUUUACCUAAACUUUUUUACUGUGUGAUUUUUUUCCAUAGGUACUCAAGUAAGAAAUGAUAGUCUUUACUAACUACAGCAACCAUGUUAU